rnacentral:rRNA from 1 species
GACGAGCGCUGGCGGCGUGCCUAACACAUGCAAGUCGAGCGGAGUUGACAAGAGGAAGUUUUCGGAUGGAAUCUUGCCAGCUUAGCGGCGGACGGGUGAGUAACGCGUGAGCGACCAACCUUGCACAGGGGGAUAACGGACCGAAAGGUUCACUAAUACCGCAUGAGACCACGGUGUUGCAUGACACAGGGGUCAAAGGAGGAAUCCGGUGCAAGACGGGCUCGCGUCCGAUUAGGUAGUUGGAGGGGUAACGGCCCAACAAGCCUAUGAUCGGUAGCCGACCUGAGAGGGUGAUCGGCCACAUUGGAACUGAGAUACGGUCCAAACUCCUACGGGAGGCAGCAGUGGGGAAUAUUGGGCAAUGGGGGAAACCCUGACCCAGCAACGCCGCGUGAAGGAAGAAGGUUUUCGGAUUGUAAACUUCUGUCCUUGGUGAAGAGAAGAAGACGGUAGCCAAGGAGGAAGCCCCGGCUAACUACGUGCCAGCCGCCGCGGUAA